ensembl:lncRNA
GGCCUGCCACCGGCGUCCCCCCGAUUUUUGUGAUCUAUUUCGGGCCAGAAUGGCGAGGUCCACUCUGGCCCACAACAAUCAACAAGAGGCGCUGCGUGACGUCAGCAGCGGAAACAUCGGGCUCGUCUGUUCAAAAUGGCAGCGUCUCAAUCAGGAAGUGAAGAAAACAACUAAGAAGAAUAAGUUGAUUAAAACAGCAUUUUCCCGGCCAAUUCGACGCCAGCUGUUAUUACAAAUUACAGCGCUGCUUGGAUGUUGGAUUUAUAACCAUACGAACACACGCCUUCUGUCCCUUUAAAGGCCCUUUAGAGCUGAUGACGUAGUAUGCGCCUUUGGGGUCGCUGCUUUCUCUUCUUAUUGGCAGCCGACGAUAUGUUUUACUAUUGGAGUGUCAGGCAGAAAUACAACCUUCAAAACACACGCCUCUUCCCACCCCCCUCUACCUCAGCCAGCCUCUCUCCUUGCCGGUCCACCAGAGUUGCUGGAUCAAUAGAGGUCUGUUCAUGCCCUGUGGUAACAUAGAAAGAGGGGGCUUCAGAAUAUAACACGACUUUUGAAUGUGUAUGUUUGACAAAAUACAUUUUUUAAGAUAUGGUACAUGAUGUAAAUGUAUACAUGCUGAAAGGCAGCUUAACAGGGGCUGUUUAAUUGUAAGGUUAGCUUAUGUGCAGCCUACACCUUUUCAUUAAUCGCACCAUUGUAACAUGGUAUGAGGAAGAAGGAAAAACCAAAACAAAUUCUCUUUGUUUUGAUUGUGGUGAAAAAGGGAUGGGUGUUAACUGUUAUAUUCGACUUGUUUUAAGUAUGUGAGCCUGGUUUCUGCAGCAGGCUGGUACUAGGUUAAAGGAGUGUGGCCGGAGCAGGGGUGAGCUUGUUGCUUUGGCCAGACAUUGGUGCAAUGCACAGGUCAGCUCCCGGUGCUAAUUCUCAUACCCUUCAUAGGUUUCGUUUUCUUAGGGUAGAAGAGACUGUGCACGCAACACAAUAGUGGAUAUUUACUCAUUCAUUGCAAAAACCUUUCAUUCCUGAUUCCUCAAACCCUGGAUGACGCACUGUAAGCUGCCUGAUGAGAGAAACUCCUUUCAAACCACCAAGCAUAGGCUCUUCAUUUACUUGUGCUCUAGUAAGUAAAUACACCCUAACCCUGUUGUAUUACUACAGUCAAGGAAGCACACACACAUCCACACAAAUGUCUAAUAAUGAUGUAUAGACUAAAGGUCUGAUUAAAGAAUUGUCUUCACUCCAUCUGUUCGCUUCAAAGGGCAAAAUCCCCGGCGUAAUUCAGCCAGCAGAACAUUAUUUCGGGUUCAGCGAUUCCCCUUGCCUUAACCCCCACCGGUAUACCGCCAUCACCCCUGCCUUGAAUUAAACCAGGGCUAUAAAUUUCAGUGUAGGCCGCCUCUGACAAUAAAUCCCAGGCUGUUCGGGGGUGACAAUGAGGGGCGCAACGCAGCAAGCUG